CCCCGUGAGGGCCCUGCACUGGGCUCUGCACAUCUCCUCCGCCUCCUCCACUGAGCUCGGCGGCUGGGUCAGCCUCCCCUCCGUCUCUUUCUCUUCUUUCGUCCCCACCUCCUCCCUCCUUGGCCCGUCUCUUUGGCUUCCCUCUUUCUCCUCAUUUUCCCCCAGUCUUCUUCCUUUAGCCCUGGCCGCCCAUCGAGACAGGGGGAGGCCUCUGCGGGGAUGGGGGUCGCCUUCGCCGGUGCCGCCUGGCCCUGGCGGCCUUGGCUGGGCUGAGCGAGAGCCAGGGCGCUGCCUGCGGGCUCCAGGGACCUGCCUCCCUCCCUCCGCGCGUCCCGGCUCCCUUCCUCUCCCCAGGGUGCGCCCUGCCCAGGGCCCGCUCCCGCCCUGCCCUGCUCGCUGCAGCUGCCCUCUCCUCUUUUCUGUUUCUCGCUCCCUUCUUCCCCACCGUCUCUCCUCCCCACUCCUUCCCCUGACGUUUCCUCUUCUCCCUCGCCCCCUCGCCAGCCCUCCCGCUGGGCGCGCCCCUCCAGCUGUGCUCCCCUUCUCUUCUAUCUUGCACUCUUUCCUCUUUUCUUCCCCUCUCACUUUUCUCUCUUUUUCUUUCCUCCUCUUGUCCUUUGAGCUUUAUCCUCUCUGAAUCUGCCUCCCCUUCCUCUCCCUCUUGCUCCCCACUCUCUCCUUUGGGAGAUCCGUAAAUCUCCCCACACCCUCUCCCUGCUUCGCUUUGAAUCUCUCCCCACGCUCUCAAUCCUCCGGAGUCCGGCCUCCUCCAGUCUCAGGGAGGCGCCUGCACUCUCCCUACUCCUCUCCUGCUCGUGCCCUCUCCCUCCCUCCCCUGCCCCAGCACUCAAGGUUCCCAGGCUGAGAAGGAGGUGGCUUCCACCCAGUGCAGGAGGUGGGCCACCAGAGGCAGAGCUGCCAAGCCAGAGCCCAGGAGCUGAAAGAACUUUGUGACGUUUGUUCUCUCUCUUUUCUGUCUGUCCUGGACGCUGGAUACCCCCUGGAGAAAUCAAGCCCACCCAAAGCCUGGGAAGGAGGAAAUGAGGAAUGGGACCAGAGACAGAAGCAAGUUGCAUCACUCCACCCUCUUCUCAGCAGAGAGCACCUCCAUGUGGAGGACCUUCCUGGAUCUCCUUUUCACCCAUGAGAAACAGGCGCCCAGGACUUCAAAAGACCAGCAGCAGUGAGGACAGAGACGCCAGGGAGGACCUGGCCUGAAGGACCAACAGCGCCACCUGCAGGGCACUUCAUCCAUGCGGGGCCCUCAGUUACCACCUCCUGGCAGCAGAUGGAACAGCACCCGUGCUCUAUUAGAACUGAGUCUGUCCUCAGGGAUAAGGAUAAUGCCAAGAAUGCCUGGGGGAGGUGGGGAGACUGGGUGGGGAGGACAGAUUUGCAAAAUGCUGCCGAAAUAACCACUUUUACUUCCAACAUAUAAAUAUCCUGCCCCACAA